rnacentral:rRNA from 1 species
GACGUAGGGCGCGAGCGUUUGUCCGGAAUUAUUGGGCGUAAAGAGCUCGUAGGCGGUGUGUCACGUCGGCCGUGAAAACCUGCAGCUUAACUGUGGGCGUGCGGUCGAUACGGGCAUCACUGGAGUUCGGCAGGGGAGACUGGAAUUCCUGGUGUAGCGGUGAAAUGCGCAGAUAUCAGGAGGAACACCGGUGGCGAAGGCGGGUCUCUGGGCCGAUACUGACGCUGAGGAGCGAAAGCGUGGGGAGCGAACAGG